GAAGAAGAUGACGUGUAGUACUAAGGAAAAGAAAGCUGAGAAGGACACAAUUGUUUGUUACUCAAAAGGCGCUUGUAUCCUAAUUAUUUGGCGAGUUCUAUAUAAAGGGAAAAAAAUGUGAGUAGUAAUUAUGUGUUUUACAAUAUUGUAUCCAUUAUAUUUCAUGUUUUUUGUUAGAUUUAUGGAUUGAUUACAUUAUAGAAAAAGAGUGUGGUUAGAUCCAUUAUUGAACAUUGAAAAAAAUUUAUAUGUUAAUUUUG
rnacentral:lncRNA from 1 species